rnacentral:sRNA from 1 species
UUGAAGGCAUGCACCACCACAGCCCAGGUAUGGGGGACAUCCUGUCUUGCCUGUUUUGUUGUUGUUUGGUUGACUGCGGUGUUUGUUUGCUUGUUUUGAUUUGUUUUGCUAAGGCUGAGGCUUCAUGGGCUCCCCCACUUCCAGGUCUGCAUGGCUAUUGGUGUCUCCUUGUUCAGUCUCCAUGUUCACGGGGCUGAGACUGCAGUGGUAUAGCAAAAGGGGAAUUUCCAUUAGAAGGAAACACUUUAAUAUAGAAGUAGGGUUUUUUCUGUCUUUUGUUUUCUUUGGUUUUAUUUCAUCAAUGACUGACUCUUUAUUCAAAAACUCACUUUUUAUUGAACAGAUUAGAUUUUUGUUUAAAGCUUGGAUUUUAUUACUUGAAGGAUUGACUCUACAUUAAAAAGAUCGAUAUUUUAUUCAAAUGAUGAAAAAUCUCAAAUGUGUGGACGUUGGAGGGUGGGGUAGAGGGCUGAGAACUGUCUGGGCAAAGCAAACUGAGUCAGAAUAGAGUGGUGAGACCUUAGAUAUUUCAGACUCCAUUGAAUAGAUUGACUUUUCAUGAACAUUGCUGAUUGGUUUUUACAGAUUCGACAUUUAUUUACAGAAGAGACAUUCAACUUCAAAGGCUGAUUUUAUGAAAAAUUCAGCCUUUCUGAGAAGGAUCAACUUCUCAUUUCGAUCAUGAAGGUAAAGGGAUUGCAGAGGGAAUUUAUAUUCUUGAUUCAAUUGUUAAACUGGUUCCCCUUGGAUUACCAGUUUAACUUCGCACAUUAGCCCACUAAAGACCAAAGAACAUGAGUUUUCUUCACACCCUGAUUGUCUCCUAGAUCAGCAUCGAUAGUGUCCCAGGAGACACCAUCAACAGGGUAAAGCAAAUGUCUUGAGGCAAGAUCCUGCCUCCCAGAGCAGGAACCAGCUUCUCUUCAGAAAGGAGCUGUGCACCUGAACAACAGAGCCUUCCUGAGACCACACUUGUAGAUGCUAAACUGGGCUGGACCAGAUCAGGGAUCCUGGAGUGCACUAGAGCCUGUAAAGAAGUCUCUGGAUACAAAACUCUAUCUUCUUCCCUGAGAUAUUAUCGACAGCAUAUAUCUGGAAGAAGCAGAGAGUAGCAUUGUGUUUUUUUGCAUACAGCCAGCCCCAAGAAGUCUCCAAGCAGAGACCAAAGAAGCUUUGAGGAAGGAAGGAGGUUGAGAGCAGAGUUGCACCAGGCCGUUCAGAAGGGACAUCUUGAAGAGAACUCCUGGUUCUGGAGAAAGUAAGGCAUGGAACCAGAGAUAACCUGGGAACUUGGGAACUUGCUGGUGUUUCAGUCUUCAGAGAGCUGAAGGAAAUAUCUGGGUACCCAGAUGUGGUGGUGGACCCACUGCACCUCCCAAUGCAUGCACUCUGAUUGCAAUUGAUAGCAUAUCAACAUGGAAUCUUUGCCAUUUUUAAUAAAUAUAUUG